rnacentral:lncRNA from 1 species
AAAUUACCAGUAUUAGUCACCUAGCUAGCUAACUUUUUAUUUAAAAAAAACAUGAAGAGAUUUUCCCUUAUUGUUUUGUGCAUGGUGACUCUAGUGGUGUGUUGUUUUCAGGUUCAGAGGCAGUGCCAGCGCCGAAAUGGGAUAACCCCUUGGAGUACAGCUCAUGCUUGAACGUGUAUAAGAAGCCACCUCCAUCAGCCAGUUGUUGCCAGAAGAUGAAGGAACAAGCAUCAUGCUAUUGCGAGUACAUGAAGAUAGAAGAUGUCAAACGUGUUUUUGACAGAGUUGAGAUUGCGAAAAUGGCUAAAUUGUGUGGAGUUUCAUAUUCUUCCACCUGCUAGAAUCCUGUUUGGUUUCAUAUGACUAUCUCUGGCUGGGAUAAUGUGGUAUCUCAAUAAAUGAAAAUUUUAUUUGAAAACUAAUUUUCUCAUAAUUUCGACUAUAAUAUACUUGUGUUCUUUUUUUUUUUUGGAAUGAUACUGGUGAUUUUCUAUUAUUUACCUUUAUUGUCUUGAUUCAUGUUACAUAUGUGCUAAAAGAACUACACAAUGAUCUAGAUUUUGAUUGAACCGUACUGGAUUGGUUGGAUUGGAAACUGGUCUAGAUACUAGUAUAAUUACAGGGGUUAGAUUGGUUGACCCAUGAACCAAUAGGGACUAGUUGAAUCGAUUUUCUCUAUUUCUUAAAAUUUUUUUUAUAUUUAUUUGAAUUUUUAAAUAAUUUAUUUAAUAAAACUAGACGAGUUGGUCGAAAUGAAAAAUAGUUAUUUGACUGAUUCGACCAUCAGUCCAAUUCUGAAAACAUUGUUAUAGUUAAAAAAAAAGAAAUGGGUAGGGUAGAUCAAAUUAUUAAAUUAUAAACAUAUAUGUUAUUCGAAUAUUUAUUUGGGUAAAGUACACUAGUAGUCACUCAACUAUUAGUAAAUUUCUCUUUUGCGCACUGAAUUAUGAAAAAUUACAAAAUGAUCACUCAAUUAUUCAAUUUUCUCUUUUUUGAUCUCUUGUUAGCUAAUGAUGGUAGCUAGACUUGUUAAUUGGCCGAGUUACCUUCCUAAGCAAGUAACAACCCAUUUUUCGGUGGUGUCAGAAACAAUGGUUUCGGAACAACAAAUCCGAUGAGUAAGUCUAUAUAUUUAUUAUUUAAUAUUUAUGAGUCAGUUUCAAUAUUAUAUUGAAUUCGUGAUUAAUAAUUUUUAUAAAUUGAACGAAUAGAUAAGUAAAAGUGGUUCAAUCCCAAGUCAAGUGGUUAUUGAAAAUGAGACGUUGGGACCUCAUUUCCAUAAUUUAAGAUCGUAAAUAUUUUUAUUAAAUAUAUAUAGAGUCUUAUUAUAGGUGAAUUUAAGUUUGGUUCGGUAAUUUUGACUUUCCACUGACCUUUGGGAUAUUUAUUCAUUAGGUCCUAAUUAGUUUAAGGUUAAAUUGAAAUAAAGUUGUUUGAUUUGAUUUAAUAUAAUUGAAGGACCAAUUGUGUAAUUGGACUUUUCUUAAAUGGUCAAACGGUAGGAAGGAUAUGAAAUUCUCUAGUUUUGUGAUUAAUUGCUAUUAGAUUCUUAUCAUUUAGUAAUGUAUUAAAAAAGACUAAAUCGUAAAGAAUGAAAAAGUUUAGUUUUAUUAAUUGGAAAGGUAAAUUAAAUGGACCUAGAUGGUAAUUAUGCCAUAUAUAUAUGUGAUGGACAAUUAUGAACAUGUGUUAGAGAUAUUAUAAAUGUAAUUUAAAGGUUAAUUUUGUAAAUAAGUAAAUAGGUUAAUGAAAAAUAAAAGAUAACAAAAUUUAAAAAGCUAUCAUCUUCUUUAUCCAUUCAAGAAAACCGAAAACACCAUUUUUAGAGGAGAAACAAGUUCGUCCAACUAGGGUUCUUCCAUUUAAGAGCUAAACCUUGCUCAUUUUUAGUAAUUUUUAUGUUUUUAAGUUCAUUUUAGCUUGAUCUAGCUAACCCGGGGUCUAAUUUGUAAAACUGUUAAACGUUGUGGAUUAUACCAUUGAUGAUUUUAGUGUGUUCUUGAAGUUCAAUGGUAGAUUAUUAAGCUUGGUUGUUAAAUAAUACUAUUUCGUAAAGUAAUUUUUUUUGCAAUUUUAAUGUUAAAGGACCAAAAUGUUAAAGUGAUAAAAUUACAAGGACCUAAUGUAAAAUAAUAGCAAGUAUGAGCUAUAAUGGAAUAGGAUACAAUUCGGUUGAAUUUUGAUUUAGUUAAAAUUGGUUAAAUUACAAGUUUGAAGCUUAGAGACUAAAUUGUAUAAAAGUAAAAUGUUGGGGGUAAUUUUGUAAAAAUGUAAAAAAUGACUUAAUUGCAAAAAAUAGUUAAUUAUGUUGCUGGAAAUUGAUAACUGGCUAAAAUUAUUAUUUAGAUUGUGAACGAGUUGAAAAUUGAGGAAAAGAGAAAGUUGCUGAAUAGUCAUUGAACUUUUGUCAUUUCUGCAGUUUAGCUCUGGUAAGUUCAUCUAAUAUGAACUCAAUUAUAUUUCUAAUUGUUUAUGAAUGUUAGAGCUUAAAUGAUAUAAAAUUACUAACAUAUAAAUUGAUUUAUUGAUAGAACUGAAACUGUAAAAAGUUACUCAAAUGGUAUUUUUUUUAUAUCAAUGGAGACAGACUGCAUUCGUACGUAAGACCAUAACAAGGCUAUGGAAAUUAUAAACGUAAGACCAUAGUGAGACUAUGGACGUUGUUUGGAUAUAAGACCAUGGUUGGACCAUGGCAAUGUAUACGUAAGACCAUAGCGAGGCUAUGGUAGUUAUUUAUACGAAAGACCAUGGUUGGACCAUGGCAAUGUAUAUAUGUAAGACCAUAGCUGGGUUAUGGCAUUCUGAUGAUAAGACCAUAACCGAGUUAUGGAACUAUGAACGCAAGGCCAUGACAAUGCACAUGUAAGACCAUAUUUGGACCAUGGCACAAUAUGAAACGUGUACCGGAGUUUCAAUCGUCUUUACAAUAUUCAUCGAAUGGAAAUAAAUGAGGAUCUAAAUGUGAUUUGAUAUGCGAAACGGUAAGUGGUUCGUAAUAGUAUAUACGUGUAAAUGUGGUAAAUGUUGUAUUAUCAUUAUAUGUUCAAGAGAUUAUGCAUUGUGAUAGUAAGAAAUACGAAUGUUGUUGAAAUGUUGAAAUUUGAUUUGAACUAAUGUUUGAGCAUUACUCACUUGUUGUGAGCUAUGAUUGACAAGAAUUCUGAUAAUAACCUUAUUGACAGGAACUCUGUUCAUUUAUCUUGUUAUUUUAAUUAUUAUGUUUAAUUUAGUAAGCUUUAUUGUUUAAUCGACGAACUUACUAAGCUUUAUAUAAGCUUACUCGUUUCCUUGUCUUUUUUUUUUGUAGAUUACGUUUUGUGGAAAUCAGGAGAUCGAAUCAACUCAUAGAAUCACACUACUCGAGGACCUCUUUGGUAGAUUUUGAAUUCAACUUGGCUUAUAUGGCAUGUAAUAGGAGAAUUUGAUUAUGUUUUGUAAUGGCUCCUAACUACUUACAUUGUAUAGUUGUUGUGUAUAUAAGGUUGUGGUUUGAAUAACUUUGUUAGAUAUGCAUCCUUAAUUCUAAACUUAAGCAUAAUGGAUGAACAUGGAAUGAUAAGUUGGCAUGAAUUAGAUAUGGUAAGUUGGGACUGAAUUUGAGUGUGUUUGUGGUUUGUGUAUAUUUGCUAAGGUAAUGAUAUCGUAGGGUUGGACUUGUGGUGUCUUUGUUGACACAUUGGAUUAGGGUCUUGGCUGAAUGAUUUAGCAUGUUUUGGAUGUUCUCGAAUGUGUUUUGAAGUCUUAUGAUCAUGUGUUAUAAAAUGGUUUAGGUACCUAAUCAUUUAGAUGUGAAAAGUGCAUGUUUUGAGUCAUUUUUAGGCACACACGGCCUGGGACACAGGCUGUCACAUGGUCGUGUGUCACACAUGAGCAACCCACACGGGUGUGUGCUCCGAGUGUGUUAGGUGCAGGGUUCACACGGGCUGGCACAUGGGCGGAGACACGGGCAUGUGAGCCAAGUCAGUGAGUUACACAAGUGGACACACAGGUGAGAACGCGAGCAUGUGGAGUAGCCACACGGGCCUGUGGGAUAGCUACACGGCUAUGUCUGGAGGCACACGGUCUGGACUCUGUCACAUGUCUUGGACAUAUAGCCGUGUAACCCUUGUUUUGAAAUUUUUUCAAUUUUUCUCUAAACUUCUUGAUUUGAUUCGAAUUGGUCCCUAAUUGUUCCUAAUAUAUUUUUAAGGUCUCGUAGGCUCGAUUUAGGCUCCGUAAAAUAUUUUUAUUUCAUUCUGAAUUAUAUUUUUAUUUGUGAAAUUGAUAUGAUUAUUAGAUGUUAAUUGUUAUGAGAUGUUCCAAAUUGUACGAUAAUACUCUGUAACCCUAUUCUGAUGACGAAAACAGGUUAUGGGUAUUACAUUUAGUGGUAUUAGAGUCACAGUUUAGUCGAUUCUUGGAUUGAACGUUACGUGUUCGAAGUCUAGAAAUUACAUGCCAUAUAAAUCGGUGAUAGUGUGAUAUGGAUUGAUCCGAUCUAACCCCUAUUUUAUUGUAAAUUAUAAAGAUGUCAUUUGAAUCUGAUCGUGACGAAACUAAUGAAGUUAAUAGUAACAUUCUGACUACUGAUUCUGGUGCAAGUCAUAGUAUACAAGUUCCACAAAUGACUAAAAAUGAGGUUAAGAAUAUUUUCUUACAGAUUUAAUGAAUGCUAAUAAAAUCUGACCAUACUGACCUUGAUGAGGUAAAUGGUAAUAUUCCAACUUAUAAAUAAGAGGUAAAUUAUAGUUUAUCGAUUUUGUAAAUGUCAAAUAGUGAAGUCAACAUUUCCUUUCAACUUAAUGAGUCAGUAGUUCACAGAAAUAACGUGAGCCAAUUCGGAGGCUCUAUAAUUUCUACCCCUUGUCGAGCAUCCUGUGGUAACUUCGAGUCUUCAACUGACUGAAAUAGUUCGAAAACUCUUGUGUAAAUAAUUAAACAGUAUAGUGAUGAAGACUUCAGAAGUAAAACGGAUGAAGAUUCUAUUAACUGAAAAAUUGGAGAGAUUGAUUAAAAAUAAAAUUAACUAAAUUAAUUAACUAAAGAACACGACAAAGAACGAAUCAGGAAGACAAAUGAUUAACAACCAAGAAGCGAAACAAUACCCAGGAAAGAAUCCACCUAGAUUUUAUCUGUCAUUAUCAAUCUGAAUUAAACAAUUUCUUCACUUUGCAUCUUGAUUUGUAGAAAUCUCUAAAUUAGGCUAAUAUUUAUUUCUAGAGUAAAAGCAACUGACUUUAGGUUGAUUAAUUAAAAUUUCUUUCCAAUAAAAACCCCUAAUAUCGCAUUAACUCGAUCUAUGGAUCCCCCUAUUAGAUUUGACUCUAAUGUGGUAGAUUUAUAUUGUCCUAUUUCUAGGAUUGCAUGCUCAAUUAUGCUAGAGCUACUCUUAAACAGAAACUUUUCCUCCUCUGAUUUAAGCACAUCAAGCAUGGAUUGAUAAUUUAAAAAUAUUAAACCAAGGAUUAAGCACAAAUAAUUGAUAACAAGAUGUAAGUAUUUAUUGCGUAAAAUAGAAGUUAAACAACAUAAUUUAUCAUAUGGUUUAUCUCCCCUAGGUAUUUAGAAAAUUAGUUCAUAAUCGCAAAUAAAAGUAUCUAGAAGACAGUAUAACCACAAGAAAUAAGAAAACCGAUAAAGGUUUUCAAUAUUGAUGGAAAUCUACUUUAGAGUCGGCUUCAAUGGUGUUUUUUGAGUUGUUUUCUUGAGUAUUCUAUGAUGGCUCACUCCCUUCUCUUUAUAUUUGGUAUGUAUAGGUUUUAGAAUGCCCGAAAAACCUAAAAAUUACGUUUUUCUGCAUUUCUGGAGUGCAUUUUACGAUUUCUACACGGUCUGACACACGCCCGUAUGGCUCACACGGCUUUGUGUCUAGCUCAUGUGGAAUCGCUUAGCCAGUGUGGCUCCUGAAACUUGUUCCUAUUUUUCUAUUUUCUCUCGUUGUUUAGUCCUUUUGCUCCUAAAUACUCUCCUAAGUGUAAAAACAUGAAUUUAAAGGAUUAUGAACAUAAAAUUCACCAUUUUAAAUCGAAUAAUCAUCCAAAAAAACGCUUUAAGAAUGAGGCUAAAACAUGUUACUUUUGGCACUUAUCAAAUAUCCUCACACUUAAACGUUUGCUUGUCCUCAAGCAAAAUCCUCAACCCGCAUUCAAAUUAAUUGUUCUCAAUUUGUCAUUUUCAUCAAUAAUGUUUUAAGAUAAUUCGCAAACAAUCAUGCAUUGAAAAUUCAACCAAAAGGAUACUAAAGAUUCAAGCAAUCCAAGCCAUUACCAUAAAGUUAUCUCACAUUAUCUAAACAAUUAUCUUAAGGUUCAAAUAUUGCGCACUCAACAUUCGAACGAGAACUGCCAUUACCAUAAGCUUGCUUAAAAAUAAAAUCUUCACCACUAUAGAAUGAGAUGACACACCAAUCAAGAGGUAUUUUCAAGGUUGUAAUAGGGCUUAGGUUAAGGGUAUGGAAAAUGUCAGAAAAGUCGAUUAUAAUCGAGAUCGAAUUGAUAAGUUACCAAACUAGAAAAAUAAUCAGUUGCUGAAUUAAAAGAACUUUUUUUUAAAGAUAUAACUGGGCUAGUAUAAAUAAGGGAAACAAAACACAAUAAUACCUAAUAUAAUUAGGUUUGGAGUUUGCUGAAAACACCCUAAAGCAAUAGGUGGGCUACAAAGUUUACCCAUCAGAAUUUUUGCCUAACAAAAUAGAAACGAAAAAAUGAAAAAAAAACACAAAACCUAACAUUAUUACCCAGUCAAAUCAGACAGCCUGGGCACAUUAAAAUCUCUCUUUUUCAUGCUGAAUCAUCACAUCUGUUUGGCAGAAAAAAAUUUCCAAAACGUUCUUUCUUCAAUCCUGUUACCAUUUUCAAUUCUCUUUCUUUUUGAAAUUUUCUUCAAUCCAGGUUUCUUAACCAUUCCUCUUCCAUGGCUUCUUCGUUGUAGAUCGACUCAUCUCUAACCAGGUACCUCUUUUCCCCAUUUGCUAAUGUUUCUUUCGCUAUUUUGUGGGCUUGAAAGUUCUCUGAUUUUUGAAUAAACUGAAAAUCUAUUUCUUGAAAUAGCGAACUAUGACUCUUGAUAUCUUUGAUAACUACUCCAAUGAUCGAUUUAUCCAUCUCUGCCGAUUGACAUUUUUUAAUGACUGUCUUCGAAUCUCCCCUUAUUGUGACUGAUCGGGGGCCCAGUGAAAUACCCAGCUUGAUUGCUUGUAAACAAGCGAAUGCCUCUGCAAGAAAUGGGGAUGAGACAUUGGAAUGAAGGGUUGUUUUUAAGACUCUUUAUCUCUCCCCUCCAGUUUCGUACAAUGACCCCCGACGCUGAUCUGGACCUGUUUGCAUCAAAAGCUGCAUCAAAUUGUAUUGUGUCCUCCAUUUUCUCCUCCAUAUGUCUCUGUAUUCUGGCAGUCUUCAAGGUACGUCUUUCCUUACCCACUCCUUCAAGUUCUGCUAUAUAGCUCUCUACUUUCUGUGUAAGGUCCCUUCCUGAUGUGUUUUUUCUCAUGUACCAUUUGAUUUCGUGAGCUCCAUAUGAUCCAUAGCGCAACAAAACAUCUGACACUGUUCCUUAGUUUCUUUUGCAAAUACCCAUGUAAGCCAUGUUCUGGUAUUUUGAUCUGAAUAUGAUGUAACCCAAUCCAUGUUAAUAUUCUGCCAAACUUCAGUAAUUGUAGGGCAUUGCUGGAAUACAUGGAAGCUGUCCUCUUCCUCGGAGCCACAACGAGGGCAUCUCAUGUUUGUGGUUAUUCGCUUGUAUCGUAGGUUGGCUAGUGUAGGAAUAUAAUUCCAGGAUAUCCGCUAGACAAACAGUAGAGUUUUUGAUGGAAGUUGUAAAUCCCAUAACUUUCUAUAGAAUUCUUUAAAAUCUGUCUAUAAUAAGUUAUUAAAAAUCGAAUCAGCUUCUUGUAAUAGUUUAUAGUCACUCCGUACAGAGAACUCUCCGGUCGGUUCACCUUUCCAAACGCGUAAGUCUUCACUGUUCGUUUCUGCAAGUGGUAUCUCCAAAAAUUUUUGAGCUAUAUCUGAUACUAAUAAUGACCUCUGUUUUCCACUUCUUAUUUGUUUCAUCAAUUAAACCUGAUACUAUUUUUAGUUCCCUAUUUUCAUCUCCGUUCUGCCAUGUACUAGGUUCAAUCCUUGGAAUCCACCGAUUUGUCCAGAAGGAAACAUUGUUUCCUCUCCCAACUCUCCAACUUAGCCCCUGAAGGAGGAGUCUCUUUGUUGCCCAGAUGCUCUUCCAGGUAAGAGAAGGUAAAUUCCCUAACUCUGCACUUAAAAAAUCUGAUUGUGGAUAAUACUUUACUUUAAGGACUCUAGCUAAAAGUGAAUUUGGAUAAUUAAAAAGAUGCCACCCCUGUUUGGCUAAUAACACAAUAUUAAGCUGACUGAGAUUACGAAAACCCAAACCUCCCUUUUCUUUUAAACUGCAAAGAUUAUUCCAAGAGCACCAAUGAAUUCCCCCUUUACCAUGACCCUUUUCCCACCAAAAUUUUGCGAUAAUUGCUUCCAUUUCUUCGCAUAAAGUUUUUGGGAGUAAGAAGCAAGCCAUUGAAUAUGCCGGGAUGGCCUGUAAUACAGCUUUGAUGAAAACUUCUUUCCCGCCCUGCGAUAAAAAUCUAGUGCUGCAGUUGUCAAUACGCUGCCUUAGUCUAUCUUUCAAAGCCUGAAAAUAAGCCUUUUUUUUUAUCCUACCAUGGUCUGUAACACCCCUUACUCGAGACCGUUUCCGGAGUCGAGCUCAAGGAAUUACUUUAUUUAACUUAUUAGUUCGGGGCAUAAAAGUUUGCUUUUAAAAUUUAUCUCACUAUCUAUGAUAAAGCUGUCCACUCGCGCAGCAGUCACUAAAUCAUUUAUAACUCGAGCUACGAAACUCAAAAUUUAAAUCUAUAAAUUUUCCUUGAAACUAGACUCAUAUAUAUUCUUACCAUUAAUUUUUUAGAAUUUUUGGUUUAGCCAAUUAGUGUAGUUUAUUAGUUAAAGUCUCCCCUGUUUCACUACUCGAUUGUCCUAGCCUCUUGCCACUAAAAAUAAGUUUUCUCAUUUUGGGAAUUUCAUAUGGUGUUCUCACUUGUUUCUACAAAAAAUAGACUCAAUAAGGAAUCUAGACAUAAAAAUUACAACUCAUUUUUUACAAUUUUUAGUGAUUUUCUAAACUCUGAACAGGGGACUCCAAAAACGGUUCUGACCCUGUCUCACCAAAAUUCGUAUAUCUCAAAAUAUAAAAUUUCUUUUGCUAAAACGUUAUUUUUUCAUGAAAAUAGACUCAACAAAAUUUCAGUAUAUAUAUCAUACACCCUCUAAUUCAUUUUAUACUAUCCUAAGUGAUUUUUCAAAAUCACGUCAUUGCUACUGUUUGAAAUCUGUUUCUUUGCAAAUUAUUACUCUUUCAUGAUUUUUAUGCAUAAUUUAUCACAUAGACAUGUAUAACAACAAACACCUUCAUACUUAACUAUUUUGACAACAAUUCAUCUUUAGAUAUUUACACAUCAUUAUUUAGCAAAAUCGUAAUACAACAUUCAAAAUAAGUAAGUCCAUAUACAUGCCAUAGUUCAAACAUAGUUCAUCACAAAAUACCGAGUCGUUGUGGUUGAUAGUGUGGAUGAUCUCCGACGUCUUUAGGAUCCUCGACUUUGAUUAAUAAUGCUAUAUAAAAAGAAAAUAAACAAAGUAAGAAUAAUGCUUAGUAAAUUUACAAGUAAAUAAAUAGCAACAUUUAACACAAUUAAUAAUACUCAAGUGACAUAAUCUUUAAUUUCCUCUUUACUUACUUCCUUACUCGUUCUCUUGCUUGUUUACUUAGUUAACUCAUAAUUAUGACUUACUUUUCUCUUGCUGAAACGUUGAUUCUCAAUGGGUAACAUAAUAUACUCUUAGCUCUUAUAACUCACUUGAACUUGCCAUUUAUGUUUUUAACUAAACUUUCAUGAACAUAAGUUAUUUACUAGCCUGUUGAGCCACAUUGGAACAAUAAUGAUACUUGGGUCUCUUUCUGAUAAUAACAUGCCAAAACCAUGUCCCAGAUAUAGUCUUACAUGGGAUGUUUCAUGUGCUACCAAUGCCAUGUCCCAGACAUAGUCUUACAUGGGAUGUUUCAUGUGCUACCAAUGCCAUGUCCCAGACAUGAUCUUACGGGGGACCUCUCAUCUCGGUGCCAACGCAAUGUCCCAGACAUGGUCUUAUAUGGGACAUCUCAUCUCGGUGCCAACGUCAUGUCCCAGACAUGGUCUUACAUGAGACCUCUCAUGAUCUCAAGGAUGCCAAUGCCAUGUCCUAUACAUGGUCUUACAUGGGAUCUCUUUACCCAAAUGUCAUGACAUUUGCAUCCAAUACGUUCCUCAUGUUUCAACGGGGCCUUUUAACACUGAUUCUCUGUCAUCUCAUACUUGAGUUAACAUUAGAUAUUUUCAUGAAAUAAAUACAUAAUUGCUGAAAAAUAACAGUAUUAAUAAUAAUUUUUAAAAUAUUGCAUUAAUUUACCGUAAACUUACCUCGAUACCAAAUAUAGUCAAAUCUACCACUUAGUCUUCAAUCUUAUUCUUUCCUUGAUCUAACCUCAAAUUCUAUUCUUUUUGAUCUAUAAUAGCAAAUUUAACUUAUUUAAUACUUACAUUCAUUAAAACAUCCCUCGACUUCAACUUUGGAAAAAUUACAAUUUUUCCCCUAAACUUUUACAUAAUUACAUUUUUCCCCAAAGCUCAGAAAUUAAACUUCAUCUCUUAUUCUUAUGUUUUACAACAUGCUGAACAUUUUUCUCUUCUAUGACAACAUCAAAUUCUUACUCUAAAAUCUACUUAUGAACAUUAGGUAUUUUACCGAUUAUGGAGUUUUACUCGUUUUCGCUUAAAAUCGACUAGCAAAAGUUGUUUAACAUAAUUUUUAACUUCAUAUUAUAUCUUAAAACAUCAAAAUAAACACUUUUCACCUAUGAGUAUUUUUUCAAAUAUAAACCCUAGGUUAAAUUAUUACUAGAAUAAACUAAAUUAAGCUACCGGGAUCGCAAAAAUGUAAAGAACAUUAAAAACGGGGUUUGGAAUCACUUACUAUGAGCUUGAGAAAGUGUGAAAACCCUAGCUAUGGUGUCCAAAUUUUGGCAGCAAGCUUUUUUGGAGAAGAUGAUAUUUUUGCCAUCUUUUUCCCUUUUUAUUCUUUUUAUUAUUCAAUGACUAAAAUGCCCUUCAUUAAAACUUUAGUUAUUUUUAUCUAUGCAUGUCUAUUUUUUUCCAUGGAAAUUUUAUGGUCUAAUUGCUAUUUAAGGACCUCUUCUUUGAUUAUGCACUUCAAAUAAAUCCUUUAUCAUCUAAAACUCAUAUUUACCCACUUUUGCAGUUAAGUCCAAAUAGGCAAUUUAGGCAUGCAAUCAAUAAAAUUUCUUAUCAAUACUCUAGUACUUAUAUCUAAUUACUAGAUAAAUCAUAAAAAUUAAUAAUAAUUUUAUCUUUAAAUUGGAUUUGUGGUUACGAAACUACUAUUCUGAUAACCUUAAAUUUGGGCCAUUACAUGGUCGGCAAACCUAGAUAACAUUCUGGUUCAUUUGAGCUUCGGAUUCCUAGCAAGUUUACCACCUGACUUCUUUCUUCUGCCAUCGUAUUUUUGCUGGAAAAAUAGUUGAUUUGUCCAUAUUCACACACUGUCCUGAACCUCUUUUAUACUCACUUUUGAUUUCCUUGAUUGUAUUAUCCCCUCUACAUGUUGCCUCCCCAAAAAGAAUGCAAUCAUCUGCAAAUAAUAAAUGUGAUACCUGUGGUCCUCUUCUGCUUACUUUGACACCCUUCAAAAAACCUUCAUUUGUUGCUUUUCUCAUAAGACUGGAAAGGCCUUCCCCACAUAUUAAGAAAAGAAAUGGACUCAAAAGAUCACCUUGUCGAAGUCCCCUCGAUGGACUGAAUGUCACCCCGACAUUUCCAUUUACCACAACCUUGUAAGAAACAAUAGUCAUGCAUUUCAUAAUAGUAUCAAUCCAACUUCGAGCGAAACCCAUUCGACACAUUAUUUCUUUAAUAAAAUUCUAUUCAACUCUAUCAUAAGCUUUACUCAUGUCCAAUUUUACAGCCACAUAGCCCUUUUUCCCCACUCUUUUCUGUUUUAGGGAACGCAAUAUCUCGUAAGCAAGCAAAAUAUUAUCCGAGAUUAAUCUUCCUGGCACAAAGGCACUUUGUGCACUAUCAAUGCAUUUAUCAAUCACUCCUCUAAAUCUGUUCGCUAUAACUUUUGCCAUUAUUUUAUAAAUGACAUUGCAUAAACUAAAAGGCCUAAAAUGUGUCAUAUUAGCCGGGUUAUUAAUUCUUUGAAUGAGCACAAUAUGAGUUGUAUUAAUUGAACUAACCUCCAUAUCUUCAUUCAAGAGUUGUAGACAGAAGGAAACUACAUCAUCUCCAAUAAAAUGCCAAUACUUCUGAUAAAAUAAAGCUGGGAAUCCAUCUUCGCCUGGUGCCUUAGUGGGUGCCAUCUCGAACAAAGCCUCGCGGAUUUCUUCUCAUGUAUAUUGCACAGUCAGCUUUUUAUUUUCCUCUUUAUAGAUACAUCAACCAAUACCCGAGAGUAAAUAGUCGAGAUUCUCUUGAUUCUCUGAAGCAAAUAAAUUCUGGAAGUAGGACCUUGCUAUUUCUUCCAUUUCCUGGGGAUCUCCCGUAUCCCUUCCAUGUGCAUUUUGUAACCUCCUGAUCUUGUUUUUCCUCUGUCUUUGGGUUGUCUGGCUAUGGAAAAAAGCUGUAUUUUUGUCACCUAAUUUUAACCAAGUCAAUCGAGCCCUUUCCUCCUUAUAUCUUUCCUCCUUCUCAAACUCCAUAUUUAGUUGAAUCUUCGUAUCGAUCAUCUCCGCCAUGUUAAUGUCGUCCCUGUCAGCAUUGAGCAGCUCAGAUAGCUUUGUUGUUAAAAAUCUCUUUUCCAUUUUUCUUGUUUCGUAUUUUCCCAGCCCAAUUUUCAAGCCCUUUAUUUAGGAUUUUCAUUUUCUACAAAAAAUUACCUAGUGUCAUCUUCCACAGCUGCUAGCUUAAGCAACAAAUGAGUCCUCCAAAAACCACCAGUUUUCAAUUUUGAAUAUAUUCCCAUUUUGUCGUCUUGUUUCCUUUUUAGUAUCAAUUAAAAUGGGACAAUGAUCAGAAAAAGAAUGAACCAAAUGUUGAGCUUUAACGUCAGAAAAUAAUGAAAUCCAUUCCUUAUUUGCCACCCCCUAUCCAACCGUUAUCGUAUAUUUUUUUGGGAGAUUACCUCUUUCCCAUGUGAACCAUUUGCCCGAAUAACCCACAUCAUUCAAUUGACAAAACUCCAGCGCUUUUCGAAACAUUUCCAUCUGUCUUUCAUCACGGGGCAAGCCUCCCUUCUUCUCAAAACCAUACAUGACUUUAUUGAAAUCUCCACAUACUAACCAUGGUAUAUUAUCUCCAUUAGAGAGAUUUUUGAGAACAGCCCAUGAAUCUUCUUUAUCUUGUGCGUACAGGGUACCAUAGAAACCUGUAAAAAGCCACAUAACCUCCCUCUCAUUGUCAUGGACUAUCGCGUCAAUAUGCCUUUUAGAGAAAUUUUUUAAAGAAAUAUUAACGCCAUUCUUCCAUGCCAAACAUAGCCCUUCUCUAGUUCCCUCUACGUCCACCUCAAUGCCAUUCACAAAACCACAUCUCUGUCAAACUCUUUCCAUCUGUUUUCCGUAAAGUUUAGUCUCCAUAAAGAAGACUAUGUGGGGAUCACAAGUCUUCAGCAAGUGCCGAAGUCUUCUAACUGUCCGUGGACUCCCCAAUCCACGAAAAUUCCGACUUAUUAUUUUCAUAAUGCCCGGUCGGCUUGCCUCUUGGCAGCCGCCGAUGACAAAUGAUUAAGAUCCAUUAAUCUCCUAUUUCUUGCCGGGGAAUUUAACUCCUCAGUCUUUGAUAAGUCGUUACUCUCCCUUCUAGAUCUUUUUUUACCUUCUUCUCCUACUAAGGCUACAUCCUCCAAGUCAUGAUCCAUCGCAUGUUGACCAUGGUCUGUCAGUGAGCUAACCUGCUUUGCAUAAUCAAAUAGUAAGCCACCUUCCAGAUUAAUACUGAGAACUGGUUCAAUAGCCUUCCCAAAACUCUUCCUGUGCUCCAUUUUCUGUGGUCCAUUCAUAAAUCUCAUGUUUGCCUCCUGAAUCCCGUCUGAACUCCCCUCCCCUUCCUCUCGUAGCCAGACAAUAUUCAUAGUCAGAGCUCUUCGGGAUUGUGCUUUUAUUGAUAAAUCCCACCCCAUUUCAGCUAUUUUCACUCCAGUCAUCGUUUUUGCCUUACAAAACGAGUCAUUAUGGCCUAGUUUUCCAUAAUAGAAGCAGAAAAGAGUCAAUCUUUCAUAUUUAAAACAGAUAUAUGAUCGUCUCCCACAGAAUUCGAUCAACUUAGACCCUAACCCUCAUAAAGUUUCUAUUUUCUUUCCAUAAAUUUGACACAUCAUAUUCCAUAAAAUACCCCAAAAAAUUCCCUAGAUUCACUGCUAAAUUUUUAGAAAACAAACCAAUGGGCACUUUAUGUAUCUGAACCCAGAAAGGGGUUAGCACUAAAGGGACCUGCAACGAAUCCUCCCCCCACCACAGUCUAUAAAAUAUCAAUAGAUGAUUAUUGAAGGUCCAUGGGGAGCCUUUCAAAACCCUCUCCAUAUCCAUAGAAUGAAAAAAUUAGAACAAAAACCUUUUUCCCCCCAAAUCCCGAAUGCAAACUCCUCGAACAGGAUGCCAUAGUACUUUUCAUGGCUGGAAAGUGAAUUAUACUCGUUGUAAGAAAACACCCCACUAAUUGAAAAAACUAUUCACUUCUUUCCGUACCUAGAUUUUUUUGAAUUUUAAUAACAUCUUUCUCUUCGUUGAUCGAUAAUUGGGCUAAUUCAUUCUCUAUAAUUUUUAGGGACACAACGCCGUAAGCCAAAAAGAAAGACAGAAGAACAAAAAACCUAAAAUUUUGCCAAAGGCAGUAGACACAAACGUGCUAGGCGUUGCUGAAUUAAAAGAACUUACAUCAACAAGAAUAAUCACAAAUGGAAAUGAGCUUUUCGACAGAAUAUGAAACUAAUUAUUCAAGCUCAAUAAAAAAAUAUGUUUUUGUUCUUUUUUUUCUUUUCGAUUUAUUUUUUUUUUGAGAAAUAAGAAAUAAAAUUCAACAAUUUCAAAAAAAAAUGAAACAUAGUUAGGCAACUAACCAAAUCAAAUCUUGACAAAAAGGGGAGUCAAUAAAAACAACAAUUAAGGUGGUUAAAUGGGUUAAAUCUUAAGUGUCUCUAUAAUGUCAAUAUAUUAAAUCAAUAAUGUGGUCUAGAUAUGUAUAAUAUAAGCAAGUUCUAGAAUAACAAAUGAAGUUGACAUACUUUCAACCAAAAAUAAAAUGAUCACGAAUAAAUAUAUGCUCUAUAGGCUCAAAGGCUCACAAAAAAUUAAGGUUUUGAUGUCAAACUUGCAAUUUCAGAGUUUGAAGAUAAUAAUUCAAUUCAGGAAGGCAACCUAAAAUAUUUAUUUCUUAAAAAAUAACUUAUCAUGCUUGACUGUCUCGUGCCUUAAAGACACACAAAUUAAUCCAAAACAAUAUCAAUAAAAAUUUCAAAUAAAAAAAUUCACUCUAAUGGAUAACCUCCUCAGACUUAAGAUAUACAUUGUCCUUAAUGUGCAAAUAGAUGUAAGCACAGAAUAAGACAAUAUCAAAAGAGAGGGAGAACUGAAACUGCCUUGAAUAUGGAUGAAUUCGCCAUAAUAGUGAAAACUGGAAUCGUAAGCGAGUUUAAAUGAAAUGCAUGUUUCUGAGCAAACUAAUAAGAAAAUGAACAAAAAUAAAUAAGAAGGUAAAGAGAUUACAAACUCGAACAAAAAAACCAUCAAAAUAAUAAAAAUAACAACAUAGUUUAAAAUAGAAAUAAAAUAAAUUAGUAUCACAAAAAAUACAACAAUUAAAAAUAAAAGCACAAUUGAAAAUAAAACAAAUAAAGCAAAUAAAAUGAAAAAAUCAGUGAUCGUCGUCGUGAGAGGCGUCAGGAUCGCGCGGAACAUAAGCAGAAUGAGAGAUAUGGAGGUGUUGGUGAAUCGAUGCAAGGUCGCGUAAAUGUUUGUUGAACAGUGCUAACUGUUACUUGACGUACUCAUAAUGUAACCGCUCGAGGUGAUUUAGCCGAUGUGAAAUAUCGUCGAGUGUGACUGAAUGUGCAGGUGUGGUAGUAGAAGGGCUUGGAGAAGUGGGAAUGGGUCGCAGUGCUGGGGGGAGAUCAUUGUUAAGGUGCUCAUUAUCCUUGUGCUAUUAAGUCGCUCGUAGCAACACAUACUGAUCACCGAAAGGCCCAGACUAACGAGCGAUCAUCCUCAUGUGUUUCAUAAUAUUUAAACCUUGUGGUGUCAUGUCCCCAACCAAAGUAAGAGUACUAAUCUGUUCUCGAGUCUCGAUAAGACUGAAGAGACUAGUCAAGAGUGUGAUAUAUAGACCCAUACAAAGAGGUCCUCUCCGUGACCUCUCACCCUGAUUACAACAACACUGAGCUACGAAGUGGGAUAGAUCAAUCAGAUGUUGUCUGUGCAUGCUCUAUAAGAAAUGUGCAUCUAAAGUGCCCAUGACGCUUGUAACGACCCAUUUUCAGUGGUGUUAGAAAUAGUGAUUUUGGGACCACAAUUCUGACGAGUGAAUUAUUAUUUUAUCAUUUAUUUAAUGUUUAUUGGAUUAUAUUAAUGUCGUAUUAAAAUUUUGUUAAGAAAUUUUGAUGUUUAAAUGGUUAAUUAGGUGAAAAGGACUAAACCGUAAAAAGUGUAAAAGUUGAGAGUUCUAUUAGUUAAAGUGGUCCAAUGACUAUGAAAUCAAAAAACUAAAAGGAUUGAUUGGUAAAUAUACCAUUUAAAGUGUCAAUAGAUGUGCAUGGACAAGGUUUUAAUGAAAUUUUGAUAGUUUUUAAAGGUUAAAAUGACAAUUGAAUAAUUAACUUAAAAACAAAACAAAUUAAAAAUGGUAUCAUCUUCAUCCUUGGCUAUCUCCACCAAAAUUUGAAGAGAAAAACAUGAUUAGGAUAGGGUUGAGAAUUCGAUCAAGUUUCUACUUGUAUGUAAGUGAAUUCAAGCUCCGUUUUUAAUAAUUUUUGUGUUUUUAGUUCAUUUUAGUUUAAUCUAGCUAGCCCGGGGGUUAAUUUGCAAAGCUAUUAAUGGUUGAAAGACUUUUCAUGGAUAUUUUUGAAUAUGUUUUGACGUUUUUUGAUGGAUUAUUUAUCUUUAUUGUAAAAUAAACAUGUUUGUUAAGUGAUUUUUAUUGAAUUUUAGAAAUAUGGAUUAGAUUGUUAAAAGUAUAAAUCCAUGGGUUUUGUUGUGAAAUGUUGGUAAUAAUGGGUUGUUUCAAGGUCUCUUUGAACAUUGGUUAAGUUGGAUUUAGGUUAAAAUGAUUAGAGUUUAAGUUAUGAGCUUGAGGACUAAAUUGUGAAAAGUCAAAGUAUUAGGGUAAAUUUUGUAAUUCUUCAUAAAUAUUAAUUAUGGAUUAAAUUUAAUUCUAGAAGUACUUAAUUGAAUGAAAUUAUUUAUUUAGAUCAAGAUAAACCACAAUCAUACUUAAAUUGAAGAAAAGCUAAAGCUUCGGAUUAGUGUUCGAUUAUACUUUUACGCCCUAGUUAUCGAGGUAAGUUCGUAUGAACUAUGAUCGUUUUAAUGUUAGUUAAAUUGACUAUUUGAUGUGUUGUUUUAAUAUAAAUGAAUCUAUGUAUAAAUGUAUCUAAGUUAUGAUGAUUUGACAGAUAACGAGUCUUGUUUGAACCUUAAGAAUUCUUAGGAUACAAAUGACAUGUCAUUUGGGAUUUCAUGUUUCGGGUGUUGGUUUUGAAUGUCCUAUCGAUGACCGAGGUCCUGUAUUUGUUGCGAGUUUUUCAUAGCUCGUGUGGGCAGCAUCGUGUAGCUAACAUUCUGACCCAUAACUCAUGUGAGCAGACCUAUUUCAUAGCUCGUGUGAGCAUUAAUGUAAAGGAAAUGUUACGGUUAUAUGGAAAGGCACACUACGUGUGAGCAUUCCUGAGUAUCUGAUGUAAUUUUAGAUGGUUCAAUGGGUAAGAAAAGGAAAUGAAAUGGUAAGUAUGCAAAUGGAAUGAAUCAUGAUUUUAUAAUGACAUUGAUGAGUUAAAUGAUGUGUUUAUAUAUGGUAAACUACAUAUCUUAUGGUUGAUUUCAUUUGUAUCAUGAACAAGUAUACUAACUUGUUAGUUUGAUGAUGUUGUAUAGGCUUUUACUAAGCUUAUGGCAUUGGUAAUGAUUUAUGCUUAAUCUAUGAAUUGUAUAAAUGAAAUGGUAAGUUAUGCUAAGUUUUUACGAGCUUACUAAGCACUCGUUGCUUACAUAGUUACUUUCUUUUGUUUUAUAGAUUAUUUAAAGCUCGAUCGGUUGGAAGUUAAUCGAAGACCUAUCACACUAUCCAACAAUCAUUUCAAUAGUUUUUUUUUGUGUGUAUUUUGGCCAAGGUUAAUAAUGACAUGUAUAAGAUCUUUGUAAUGUAAGUUUUGGUAUGUUUAAGCUUUUGCAGUUAUGUUGGUUUGGUGCACUUUGAUAUCUUACCAAGUUAUGUCAUAUUGGUCACUUAAGUGCUUUUAAACAAAGUUCUUUUGGUAUGUUUUGAUGGCUUGAAAAUGGCCAUAUGUGGUAGUUAAUUGAACUAGGUUAUUAUGCUUGGGAAUAUACAAUAUUGACUUGUUUUGGUAAGUGAUGUUUUGAUAUAUUUGUGGUGCCUUUGAGUGGCAUAUUGGUUAGAUGAAUUAGGGUGUUUGAAAAGGCAUGUUUUUGUGUAUUUGAAUGAAGUUUAAAUUCCUUGAAUGUAUGCCCAAAUGGUUUGAAUGGUUAGGUAUGAAUUGGACUUGAAAUGGCUUGAUUUUAGGUUAAAUUUUGGGUUCACAUGGCCUGGGACACGGGCUGUCACAUGGCCGUGUGACACACACAGCCUGGCGACACGGUCGUGUGUCAUUUCAAAUUUUUUAGUGAUUCAAGUCAGUGAGUUACACGGCCUGACACACAGGCGUGUGUGGCAACUCAGAGAGUUAUACGACCAUGUGACCCUUCUCAGUGAGUUACACGGGUGAGGAAACAUGCUAGGACACCGUCGUGUGUCCUUUGUUCGAAUGUGUCACGGCUUGGCCACACGACUGUGUGACCCCCGUUUUCAUAUUUUUGCAUCUUUUUCUUAAAAUUUCUAUUUUGUUUCGAUUCAGUCCUGAAUUGUUUCUAAGCUAUUUUUAGGGCCUCGAAGGCUCGAUUUAGGGAUAAAAUGCAUAUGAAUGAUUGGUUUACAAUAAAUUUAAUUUAUUUUAUAUUAUAGUGUUAAAUGAUUUUCGGUUGAAAGGUAAUGCUCUGUAACCCUAAUCUAGCGACGGAGACGAGUUGGGGUGUUUCAAUGCUUGUACUAUUCUUUCGUCUAGUUAAAGUAUGAACUAGAAUGACAUGAAUAUAUUACAAGGUUGGAGGGAGGCACUUAGCCUUAGACUGGCUCGGGUUGCACGGAAUGACAGCCUCAGAGAUUUCUGACGAACAUAGAAAGAUCGAUUAAUGGAUGUGUUGUGGGACGGAUGAGAGCUCGGUCACUACUAAGAAAUCAUUAGAAUAUAGGCUGAGAGUGACAGCAAAAAUUGCAAUACUAAAGUGUUGAGUGAUACCCUCAAGACAGAAUGAUAUAGCUCGUGGGUCAUCCCCCGAGAAUAAUACAGUCGGUAGGAAGAAUGUGGAGAAAAACUUGAAUGUAAGCUCAACAUAUGUCGACUCCACGAUCGUGAAGAAUCGAUCCCAUGGGGUUGCGAUUAAAAGAGAAUGAAUCGGUGUGAAUAAGUCCACAAUAUGGAAGGCAUCCCAAUCUACACGUCUACCCACGCCCAAUGCUCUAUCCUUAAGAUUCUGGCACUCUCCACAUAGGGUGGAUGGUCGAAGGUGAGGUAUUGGUAACGAGUGGUUGUUAUCGGAGAGGAUGAAGAUGAGGUCCAUGUGGCUUUUCUUUUAUUAGAAUAAGUGGGGACCCCACUUUUUCCUCGUCGGUUUUGCAUUUUGUAUCUGAAAUAAAAUAUAAUAACCAAAUAUCAGAUAACCAAAAAUCAAAACCACAAAAAAUAAAUCUAGCAAAUAGACAAAUCAACAUACGAAAUAAAACAUAUCGGCAAGCGAACUACCUCACGAUAAAAGUCAAAUCACAACGAGUCUAACCGAAAUCUACUUCGAAUACAAAACUUGAGCUAAUACUAAUACUAUUGAGGCAAAAAAAAAUUAAACUAACCAACUAAAACUAAUAAUAAUAGAAUAAUAAAAUAAUAACAAUAAUACUAAUACUAAACAAAAUAAACAUAUUAAUAAUAGUAGGAGUAAUAAUAAUUAAAAUAAUAAGAAAAUAAAUAAAAACAAAAAUAAUAAAAAUUAAAUAAAAUGAAAUGAAAGAAUAGGGUUGAGCCAAACGGUGGUAACAGCAAUGGUUGGUGGCGAUGGUGAAUGGAGGCGCGGUGGUAGAAGCGAGUGAGGACGUGGGAGAGGGCUGAUGGUGGUAAUGCACAGGUGAAGAGGGUUAGAACAGAGGGAAAAAAACCAGACGGUAGAGGAAAUGGCAUGAUUGACGGUGGGGGAAGGAAAUGGAAAAAGAGAAGCGCGGGAAGGAAAGGAAACGACAUGAUCGACGGUAGAGGACGUGUGUCUAGCCAAUGUGGAAUGGCCCAGCUUGUGUGGCUCUGAAAGAUUCCUCCGAUUUUUUGAUUUUCGCUCCUUUUGCUUCCAAAUGCUCUCCUAAGUAUAAAAACAUGAAUAUAUAGGAUUAGGGGCAUAAAAUUCACCAUUUUAAAUCGAAUAAUGAUCCAAAACUGCAUUAAGAAUAAGGCUAAAACAUGUUACUUUUGGCAUUUAUCAAUAGGAAAUGGGUUGGUUUGAAAAUAAAUGGAUUGCUUGUCGUAGAAUAUUAUUCUCGGCAUAACUCAAAAUAUAAAAUUUUAAAAAUUAUAUUUAAUACAAUAAAACAUUUAUUAUAUUUAUGGUAGUAUUUUUUAAUGUGGUAUGAAACUCUUAGUUGAUGAAACGUGUUUAGUGGUAGAUUGAAUAGCCUAUUAGAUCAUUAAUUCUGAAGCCAUUAAUCAUAUUUGUGUUUAUUGCAGGGGUUCAAGUAAAUGAGAAGCCUUCGUGAGAAGGAUCUCUCGUUGCAAACUAGAGAUGGGCGAAAUGUAGAGGCAAAAGUAGUGGGAGAAGUACAUUUGUAUUUUGAUAAUUUUAGGAAGAUCAUUUUAAAAAACAUUUUUUAUCUACCUAGUUUUAGGAGAAAUUUAAUUUCUGUUGCAUGUUUAUUUCAAAACAAUUUUUUUUUUACUUUUAAUAAAGGGAUUGCAAUUCAUAAAAAUCAUGUUCUUAUCCGCAAUGGAUGGAUGCAAAAUAAUAUUUAUUUUAUUAAACAAAAGAGCUGCUCACUUCUUGAAACCGAGCUUGUGAAUAAUAAACUUAAAACUUCUCACUCUAAUACUUAUGAUAUUUAAGACUUAGUCGUGUUAAACAAGAAAGAAUGAAUAAACUUUUUAAAUAUGGGACUUUAAGCUCACUUAAAAAGGUACAUCUUCCACAAUGUAAAUCUUGCUUGAAAGGUAAAAUGACAAAGCAAUCUUCUCGUGAAAAAGGCACAAGGGUUGUUCAAUCAUUAAAACUUGUGCAUACUGACGUAUGUGAUCCCAUGAACGUUAGUGUGAGAUUUGGUUACAAUUAUUAUGUAAACUUUAUAGACAUUUAUUCCAGAUAUUGGUAUGUGUACCUAAUGCACCACAAGAGUGAAACUUUUAAAAAGUUUCAAGAGUUUAGUGUAAAAUUGGAGAAACAAUUAGGUUUACCCAUUAAGAAACUCCAGUUUGACCAACAUGGGGAAUACUUAUAGGAUGAGUUUAUAGGAUACCUCAUAGAGAAUGUGUAACAGCCUAAUUUUCAGUGGUGUCGGAAACAAUGAUUUGAGAUCACUAAACCUGACCAAUGAGUUAAAAUUUAAUAAACUAAGAAUUAUGGGUCAAGUGUGAAGUUAGAAGAACUUUUGAAUUAGUGAAUUUUGUGAUUUAUUGAAUUUUGUGAUUUAAAAAGAAUUUAAUAGGUAAAUUGGGUCUAAAAUGAGGUACCGAGACCUCGAGUUCAUAAACCAAGUCAUAAAUAUUUUUAUAAAUAUUUAUGGAGUGUCAUUGAGUUAGUAUAAAAGUUUCGUUAGAAAAUUUUAACGUUUGGAUAGUCAAUUAAUUAAAAAAGACUAAAUUGAAAAUAGUGCAAAAUUUGUUAAAUUGUGAUUAAAUAGCUUAAGUGACUAAUAAGGAGGGAUUUAAAAGGCAAUUAGGCCCAAAUUAUAUGGGCUGGACGGUUGGGCAAGAAAAAUCAGCAAAAAAGUAAGGAGAAACAAGGGCAAAAUUGGAAAUUUUACAAAUUAAAUAUAUAAAACAAAGAUAAAAGUGAAAAAUCUAGAGAUCUCUUCAUAAUUUAUCAGCAAAAACGCCAUAGGAGGUCUGAAACAAGCUGGCUUCUCAUAUUUUUAUACCAUGUGAGUUCAAUUCUUUCUUUUUCCUUGAAAUUUUUAUGUUUUGUGCCUUUUACAACUAGGUCCAACUAUUGAAUUCAUUAGUUUUUGAUUCCAUGGGUGAUUUUGUAAGUUACCAUGAAUAAGUUCUGGAAUUUUAUGAUGAAUUAUUAUAGAUUUUAAUUUUUAAUUUCAUUAUAUUAUGAUCUUAUUAAGUGAUUUUAGUAGAAAAUGAUUUUUAGGACCUAAUUGUGAAAAAGUUAGGAAUUGGGGUUUUGUACUGAAAUUAUGAAUAUCAAAGGCUGUUUAGUAGUCUAAAUGGUUGUAUAAGGUGUUAAUUGAGAAAUUAGAUCAAUUGAAGGGUUAAUUGAGUAGGGAUCAAAUUGUAAAAAUUGUUAAUUUUGGGGGUAAAAGUGUAAUUUCAAAAAUUUAAAGGCAUAAAUUGUGAAGUAAAUUAGUAUUGAAUUAGAUGCUAAUAAAUGGAAAAUUUUAUAUUAUAGAUCGUGAAUUCGAAGAUAAACGCAGAAAAGAGAAAGUAUCAAACUAGUUUCUGAACUUUUACAACUUCUACGAAUUGGCCCAGGUAAGUUCAUAUGGCUGAGGUUUUAUGAUUAAUUGUUAAUGUGGGAAUGAUAUAAUGUAUCAAUUCGUAUAUUGUUGUUAAAUUAUGAUUAUGGUAAAAAUGAGAAUAAGAUGAGAUUGUUAGUUCAAAUUAAGGGAUACGCAGGAUUGAGUACAUAUGUUCGGUAACCAGUGAUGAAUUGACGGAUAAGUCUAUGGUGGAUCCAUGGCAAAGUGUGAAACGUAGGUAUGGUAUUUCAGUGAAGAAAACCAUACUGAGUUGUGAAAAGUAGGUAUGGUGUUUCAGUGAAGAAAACCAUACUGACUUGUGAAAAGUAGGUAUGGUAUUUCUGUGAAGAAAACCAUAUUGAGUUAUAGCAAUGUGAAAUAUUCAAGCAAAUUGUGGCACCGGGCAAACGAUGUACUCAAAUCCGUAAGACGAUCCUUAAUUUGACAGGUAUUUGUAAGUGCAAUUGAAGCUAAAUGUCGGAAUUGAAGUUAACAUCUGAUAUUAUGGAUAUAUUCAUUGUUUGAGAUUGUGGUUGGCAAGAAAUGUUGAAUUUUUAUUUGUUUAUUAAUGUUGUUAGUGAAAUUUUGGUAAGAUUUUAUUAUGAGCCUAUGAACUUACUAAGCUUUCUGCAAGCUUACUUGUGUGUGUUUAUUAUUUCUUGUAGAUUGAUAUAUAUAUGUUUGGAGGAUCGGAUCUACAUCAACGAUCACACUAUCCAGAUUUACUCCGGUAGAUUUUGUUAACCAACUUUUUGAUUUAUAUGGCAUGUAUAGGGAAUUGAAGUAAAAAGUAACAGAAUGAAUGACUAAGUAGGCAAGGUAAAUCUGAAUGUGAUGGUUGUGUUAGACAUUGAAAUAUACAUGUUUUUAGCUUGAAAUGGUUGAUUGGUUGAACUUUAUUAGUAUUUAAAUGAAGCAGUUGAAAUACUGAAAUUGGUAGUGAAUUGAAAUUUGCAGGGAAGGUUAGAUAAUUAUAAGGGGGUUAUAUUGAAUUUUUUUAAAUAAAAUAAAAUAAAAUUACAAUGGAACAGUUUUUGGACAACAGCAUUGAUGUAAAUUUGAAAAAUCACCAAAAAUAGUGUAAAUUGAAUUAGAAGCUGAGUGAGAUAUGAAAUUAAAGCUGAAUGAGUCUAUUUCACAUGAAAGAAACAGAGUAAGCAAAAGAGUUAUAUAUUUUUAGAUAUUUUAAUUUUAGUGAGACAGGGUAAGAAUGGUUUUUGAAGUCCCCUAUUCUAACUUUAGAAAUUCAUUAAAAAUUGUACAGAAGGAAUUAUGAGUUAUAAUUCAUAUGUAUAGAUUUAUUAAUGAGUCUAUUUUAAGUAGAAAUAAGUGGAAGCACCAUAUGAAGUCUGUACAAUGAGAUAAUUGAAUUUUAGUGAUGAGAGGUCAGGAUAGUCAAUCAGUGAAAUAGGGGAGAAUGUAACUAAUAAACUGUACUAAUUGGCUAAACAAAAAAUUCUAAAAUAUUUAUGGUAAAAAGAUAUAUGAGUCUAGUUUCAUGGAAAAUUUACAGAUCUAAAUUUUGAGUUUUGUAGCUUGAGUUAUGAUUAAUUUAGUGACUGCUGCGCAGAUGGACAGCCUUAUUAUUAACAGUGAAAUAACUUUUAAAAGUAAAUUUUUAUGCCUCGAACUUUUAAGUUAAGUCAAGUAACGCCUCAUGCUCGACUCCGGCAACAGUCUCGGGUAAGGGGUGUUACAGAAUGAGAUACAAUUCCAAUUAACUGUGCGAGGUACUCCACAACAAAAUGGCAUGACAAAAAGAUGGAACAAAACCUUGCUUGAUAUGGUUUAUUCAAUGUUAAGUUAUUCACAACUAUCAAUAUCAUUCUAGGGGUAAGAAUUACUAAUGACUAGCUACAUUAUAAAUUACAUAAAAACUAAGGCAGCACCUCAGGAUCCAUACAAAAUGUGGCACGACAUGAAGCCAAGCCGAAAUCAUUUUAGGAAUUGGGGAUGCCCAACUUACGUGUUGGCUAAAGAUGCAAAAGAGUUGGAAGCACAGAUAGAAUUAUGCAUGUUUGUUGGUUGUCCAAAACGAACUAAGGGUGGAUGAUUUUAUAACCCAAAAGACCAAACGGUUACGGUUUUGAAUUAUGCUACUUUCCUUGGGGAAAUCUACAUUAAAAAUUUUAAACCUCAAAGUAGAAUGUAACUUCAGAGAAUUUCAGGAAAAUGAGCUUAUUUUUUGAUAAUUUGUAAGUCAUUUUCCGUGAAACAAACGCAUCCGAAGGAAAAUAAAUAAGAGGGUAAUAAUUUUAUAAACAGUGAUCCAAAAAAUUUUACUCAUACCAUCAUUUUGAUUUAUUUUAUUAGUGAUUUUCAUUUUCUAUUUUACUUUUUUGAGCGACUCUUUAAAUAAUUGAAACCAUUAAAAAUAAACCAUAACAACUAAAAUUUAAAUUUUAAUAUUAUAAAAAACCAUAUAUUUUAAUUUAAAUUUUAAAAUUAAAUUUUUCAAAGAUUAAGCUAUUUUCUCCGCUUAAUAGGCAGGUUUGAAAAUUUUUUACCACAAAUUAUCUCUCUCAAAAAUAGUAAACCUAACAACAUCCUUUUACCAAAUUUACACAUUUACACGUUUUGUCCAACACUCUCGACAAUUACCAAUCCAAUUGUUAUAAAUUGUGCCAAAGUUCAUUGGAAAAAAUACACCAUCACAAAUUACCAGUAUUAGCCGCCCAGCUAGCUAAAUUUUUAUUUAAAAAAACAUGAAGAGGUUUUCCCUUAUUGUUUUGUGCGUGGUGACUCUAGUGGUGGUGUUAUUUUCGGGUGCAGAGGCAGCGCCAGCGCCGAAAUGUGAUAACCCCUUGGAGUAUAGCUCAUGCUUGAAUGCGUACAAGAAGCCACCUCCAUCAGCCGGUUGUUGCCAAAAGAUGAAGGAACAAGCACCAUGCUAUUGCGAGUACAUGAAGAUAGAAGAUGUCAAACGUGUUUUUGACAGAGUUGAGAUUGCGAAGAUGGCUAAAUUGUGUGGAGUUUCAUAUUCUUCCACCUGCUAGAAUCCCGUUUGGUUUCAUUUGACUAUCUCUGGCUGGGAUAACCUAGCAUCUCAAUAAAUGAAAUUUUAUUUGAAAACUAUUUUUUUACUCAUAAUUUCGACUAUAAUGUACUUGUGUUCUUUUUUUUUUUAGAAUGAUACUGGUGUUUUGCUAUUAUUUACCUUUAUUGUCUUGAUUCAUGUUACAUAUGUGCAAAAAGAACUACAGAAUGAUCUAGAUUUUAUUUGAACCGUACUGGAUUGGUUGGAUUGGAAACUGAUCUGGAUAGUGGUAUAAUUAGAGGGGUUAGAUUGGUUGACCCACGAACCAAUAGGGAGUAUUUGAAUCGAUUUUCUCUAUUUCUUAAAAAAUAUUUUUAUAUUUAUUUUAAUCUUUAAGUAAUUUAUUUAAUCAAACUAGAUGAACAGGUCGAAAUAAAAAAUAGUUAUUUAGCUGAUUUAACCACCGGUCCAGUUCUGAAAACAUUGUUAUAGUUAAAAAAAAAACAAGAGAAAUGAGUUGAGUAGAUCAAAUUAUUAUAUUAUAAAAAUAUAUGUUAUUUGAAUAUUUAUUUGGGUAAAAUACACUAGUAGUGACUCAACUUUUAGUAAAUUUCUUUUUUUAGCUCCAGAUAGCUAAUGGUGACAACUAGACUUAUUAAUUGGCCGAGUUACCUGCCUAGGCCCGAUGGUCUACUCGAAAAAUGGAAGGAUUUGGACAAAUAUAUGAUGCUAAAAAAUGGGCUUGGGUAAAAUUUAAUGCCUAUUUUCUAUAUGGGUCAGGAGCUGUAAUAAAUUUUUUUGACCCGAGCCCAAUCCGACCUGAAUAUAUUAUGUUAUAACAAAUAAUUAUACUAAUUAUAUAUGUUAACUAAUAAUUAUAUAUUUUUUUAUAUUUAUAUUAAAUUACUAAUGCAAUAACAACUAAACCCAUUACCCAAAACCUAAAAAAAAAAACUUACCCAAGUAAAUCAUUGGCUUCAACUAUACCUAAAGCCCGUCAAUUAUUUAACCAUAGACAUAUUUUAGUUAAUGGCAUACAAUAGAUUUACCAAGUUAUCGUUGCAAGCCUAGCAAUAUUAUUUUAGUGAGGGAUGAACAAAAUUCUAGAACUCUGAUUCAAAAUUAUCUUGAUUCAUCCACCAAUGAGGAAUUACCAAAACAUUUAACCCUUCACACAUUACUAUAUAAGUGAUUAGUCAAUCAAAUAAUAGAUAGGAAAUGGGUUGGUUUGAAAAUAAAUGGAUUGUUUGUCGUAGAAUAUUAUUCUCGUCAGAACUCAAAAUAUAUAAUUUUAAAAAUUAUAUUUAAUACAAUAAAACAUAUAUUGUAUUUAUUCUAGUAUUUUUUAAUGAAUUUUUAAUGUGGUAUUAAACUCUUAGUUGAUGAAACUUGUUAGGUUCAAUAGACUAUUAAAUCAUUAAUUCUGAAGCCAUUAAUCAUAUUUGUGUUUAUUGUAGGGUUCAAGUAAAUGAGAAGCCUUCGUGGCAAGGAUCUCUCAUUGCGAAUUGGAGAUGGGACAAAUGUAGCGACAAAAGUAGUGGGAGAAGUACAUUUGUAUUUUGAUAAUUUUAGGAAAAUUAUUUUAAAUGGCAUUUUUAUGUACCUAGUUUUAGGAGAAAUUUAAUUUCUAUUGCAUGUUUAUUUAAAGAAGGUUUUUCUGUGGCUUUUAAUAAAGGGAUUGCAAUUCAUAAAAUCAUGUUCUUAUCCAUAAUGGAUGGGUGCAAAAUAAUAUUUAUUUUCUUACACAAAAGAGCUACUCACAGCUUGAAACCAAACUUGUGAAUAAAAAACUUGAAACUUCACACUCUGAUUCUUAUGAUAUUUAAUACUUAACCGCGUUAAACAAGAAAGAUUGAAUAAAAUUUUUAAAGAUGAGAUUUUAGGUUUACUUAAAGUGAUACAUCUUCCACAAUGUGAAUCUUGCUUGAAACGUAAAAUAACCAAGCAAUCUUCUAAUGCAAAAGGUACAAGGAUUGUUCAAUCAUUCAAACUUUUGCAUACCGACGUAUGUGGUCCUAUGAACGUUAGUGUAAGAUUUGGCUACAAUUAUUAUGUAAAAUUUUUAGAUAUUUAUUCCAGAUACUAGCUAGUAUGUGUACCUAAUGCAUCAUAAGAGUGAAACUUUUAAAAAAAUUCAAGAGUUUAGUGUGAAAGUGGAGAAACAAUUAGGUUUACCCAUUAAGGCACUUCGGUUUGACCGACGUGGGGAAUACUUAUCGGACGAGUUCAUAAGAUACCUCAUAGAGAAUGAGAUACUAUCCCAAUUAACUGUGCAGGGUACUCCACAACAGAAUGGCAUGACAGUGAGAUGGAACAAAACCUUGCUUGAUAUGAUUUAUUUAAUGUUAAGUUAUUCAAAACUUCCAAUAUCAUUCUCAGAGUAAGCAUUACUACCAACUUGAGAUAUUUUAAAUUACAUAAAAACCAAGGAAGCACCUCAGAAUCCAUACGAAAUGUGGCAUGACAUGAAGCCAAGCCUAAAUCAUUUUAGGAAUCGGGGAUGCCCAACUUACGUGUUGGCUAAAGAUGCAAAAAAGUUGGAAGCACGAAUAGAAUUUUGCAUGCUUGUUGGUUGUCCAAAACGGAGUAAGGGUGGAUAAAUUUAUAAUCCAAAAGACAAAAAGGUUAAGGUUUCGACUUAUGCUACUUUCCUUGAGGAAAUCUACAUUAAAAAUUUUAAACCUCGAAGUAGAUUGUUACUUCAAAAAAUUUCAGGAAAAUGAGCUUAUUUUUUGAUGACUUGUAAGUCAUUUUUCGUGAAUAAACGCAGCUAAAGGAAAAUGAAUAAUAGGAUAAUAAUUUUAUAAACAACGAUCUAAAAUAUUUUACUCAUACCAUCAUUUUGAUUGAUUUUAUUAGUGAUUUUUAUUUUCUAUUCUACUUUUUUUAGCGACUCUUUAAAUAAUUGAGACCAAUAAAAAAAACUGUAACAACUAAAAUUAAAAAUUUAAUAUUCUAAAAAAAACCAUAUAUUUUAAUUUAAAUUUUAAAUUUAAAUUGUUAAAAGAUUAAGCUAUUUUCUCGGCUUUGUAGGCACGUUUCAAUUUUUUUUACCACAAAUUAUCUCCCUCACAAAAAUAGUAAACCUAACAAUAUCCUUUUACAAAAUUUACACAUUUACACGUAUUGUCCAAAACUCUCGACAACUAAUAAUCCAAUUGCUAUAAAUUGUGCAAAAGAUCAUUGGAAAAAACACAUCAUCACAAAUUACCAUUAUUAGUCAGCCAACUGGCUAAUUUUUUUUUUGAAAAAACAUGAAGAGGUUUUCCCUUAUUGUUUUGUGCAUGGUGACUCUAGUGGUGGUGGUGUUUUCGAGUGCAGAUAAUAUGAUAGUAUAAAAAUUUCGUUAAGAAAUUUUGUCGUUUGUAUGCUUAAUUUGUGAAAAAGGACUAAAUCGCGUAAAGUGUAAAAGUUGUGUUCUAUUAGCUAAAAGUGUUAAAUAGCUAUAUAACUUUAAAGUGGAGGUCCUUAUAUGGUAUCUAGACCACUAAUUGAGUUAUUGGAUGUGCAUGACAUGGUAUUUUUGAAAUUUUUAAAGUUUGGUAAGAGUGAAUAGGUAAUUAGGAAAUUAAAGGUUAAAAAUUUAAUAUAACAAAAUAGUAAUCAUCUUUCUUCUUCAACCUACCAAAAAUUUCAUUAAACAUUGGGGUUUUGAAGCUUUGAAAUUCAGCUAAGCUCUCCCUUGCAUGGUGAGUGAUUUUUGUUUCGUUUUUAUUGGUUUUUAUGUUUCCGGGAUUAUUGUAGCUUAACCUAGCUAGCCCGGGGACUAAUUUGCAAAAUAGUUGAAGGUUUAGGGUUUUACCAUUGAUUAAUAUGUUAGGAUUUUGAAAUUUAAUGAAAGAAAAUUAAUCAUUGUUGUGAGAUAAACACUUUUUGUUAAGUGAUUUUGAUAAAAUUGUCAAAUAGAGGCUAAAUUAAGAAAUGGGAAAAUUGUGUGUUAAAUGUGUGAAAUUGUUAAUUUUCUGAGCUGCUGUAUGCACAUAUGAAAUUCGACUAGGCUUAUAUAGGGAUGAAAUUGCAUAAAUUUCAUUUUACGAGCCUAAGGACUAAUUUGUAAAGAAGUUAAAUAUUUAGGGGGAAAUGGUAAUUUUGCCAUAACUUGAAAUUUGGAUUGAAUUGAAUAGAAUAAUGAUUAAAUUUGUUAAAUUUGAUUAUAUAGAUCAAGAAAAGCGACGUACGGAAUUAGAUCGAGGGAAAGAUAAAGUUAUCGUUUAAACAAUCAUUUUUCGUCGUACGAGUUCAAGGUAAGUUCGUGUAAUUGCAUUGUGUAUUUGUAUACUUUAAUUGAAAUAUAUGUUUUUGGAUUGUGUAAUCAUGAUGUAUAAUUAUCGAACUUAUAACCGAGGUAGUACGAAGAAUAUAGAGUCCCGUUUGAACCUUAGGAAUUCGUAGGAUACAAAUGACAUGUCAUUAGGGUUACCGAUUUGGUUGUGGUCAUGCAUGUGUUGCGGACACACCACAACUCGUAUGAGCUUAUCGAUUUCAACUCGUGAGAGCUUACCGAUUCACAGCUCGGAGGAGCUUACCGUUUAUCACUUGUAUUAGCAUACAUUUACAAGAAUUGACGGAUUUACAGUUUAGUACAUCUCGCGCGUGCUACCCUCAUAUCUAACGAUAUUCUAAGUGGCUCAACGGGCAUAGUGAUAUUACGAGAUUACACAAGUUUAAUACGAACUAGUACAGGUAUUUACAUGAAAAUGGGUUAUAUAUGAUAUACGGAUACACGGUAUAGAUGGUACAUGUACAUUAAAUUUAAUAAUUGUUGAAUUCAUACAUGAUUCUCGGUUUUAUAUGAAUACAUGGCUAACUUGGUUAAUGGUUAUGUGAUAGGCUUUGCCAAAUUGAAUUAUGUUAUGCUUUGAGUUAUUUACCUAAAUUUGUGGUUAAAUGGUAAGUUUAAUUCUGUAUUAUACGAACUUAUUAAGCUUAAUUGCUUACUCUGUUUAUUUUCUCGUGUUUUAUAGAGAUUCGAAAGCUCGUUUGGAUUGGAAGUUGUCAGAGACCACAUCACACUAUCAAACUUUAUUUUGGUACUUUUGACUUUAUAUUUUGGGUUAAAUGGCAUGUAUAGGUCAUUUUGGCUAAUGGUAGCCUUUAUGUUUUAUUGUGUAUUUAGCCAUUUGAUUUGGCUUGAAUUUGGUAUAUUUUGUUAUGUAAAUAUGUAAAUGGCCUUAUUGUAUAUGAUAUACGAUUGUCAUGUAAUGCUUUGUUUGUGAAUUGGUAUUAGGGUACCAAAUGGUUGAAGUUAAAAUGUGGUAUCAUGUUCAAUUUAGGCACUAGAUCUCAUAGGUGAGGUUGACCAUUUAGGUAUACUUUGGAAGUAUAUUUGGUAUGUUUUAAAGUGAUCAUUUGAAUGUGUUUAUGGAUAUCACGUUGUAUGUGUGAAAUUACAUAUUAUAAACUUGAUAUUGGUUGGUUUUAAGUGUCUAAUUAUGCCUUGGUUCUAUACAAAUUGAUGUGUAUAGGUUGGUAUCAAUAUGGGUGAGGAAUAUGACUUGGAAAAUGGCUUAUUUUUGUCCACACGGGCAGAGACACGGGCGUGUUUCUCAGCUGUUUGUGACAUACGGUUAGGUGACACGACCAUGUGUCCCGUGAUACUUCUAUACAAAUCAAGUCAGUAGCUUCACACAACCUAGCACACGGUCGUGUGGCUUGGCCGUGUGGCACAAGUCAGUAGACUCUCCAGUUUUCACACGGUUUGGCACACGGGCGUGUGAGGUCAUUUCGAAUGGUACACGGCUUGGCACACAGGUGUGUGGUUGACUGUGUGACCCAAGUCAGUGAGUUACACGGGGUUGGACACGGGCGGAGACACGACUGUGUGAUCCCAUUUCGAAUGCCCACACGGGCAUGUCUCUUGGCCGUGUGAGACACACAGCUUAGCCACACGGGCAUGUGUCCCCUGCACAUUGAACAUUUCAAUGUUUUCCUAAAAAUUCCUUGAGUACUCGGUUUAGUCCUAAACCACUUUUAAUGUUUAUGUAGGGCCUUGAGGGCUCGUAUUAGGGACUAUAUGAAAGAAUUUGAAUGGCUUUUGAUUGGAAUGAAAAAAAUGAAUAUAAAAAGUAUAAUUGUUUGAGUUAUAAGUUCGGUAAUGCUCCGUAACCCUAUUUCAACGUCGAAUACGGGUUAGGGGUGUUACAUGAUAACCCCUUGGAGUAUAGCUCAUUUUUUAAUGCGUAUAAGAAGCCACCUCGAUCAAUCGAUUGUUGCCAAAAAAUGAAGGAACAAGCACCAUGCUAUUGUGAGUACAUGAAGAUAGAAGAUGCCAAACGUGUUUUUGAUAGAUUUGAGAUUGCAGAAAUGGCUAAAUUGUGUGGAGUUUCAUAUUCUUUCACCUGCUAGAGUCCCGUUUGGUUUCAUUUGACUAUCUCUGGCCAGGAUAACUUGGCAUCUCAAUAAAUGAUAAUUUUAUUUGAAAGCUAUUUUUUUACUCAUUAUUUCGACUAUAAUGUACUUGUGUUCUUUUUUUUUUCCGGAAUGAUACUGGUGGUUUGCUAUCAUUUACCUUUAUUAUCUUGAUUCAUGUUACAUAUGUGCUAAAAGAACUACACAAUGAUCUAGAUUUAGUUUGAAUCGUACUAGAUUGGUUUGAUUGGAAACUGAUCUGGAUACCAACAUAAUUAGAGGGGUUAGAUUGAUUGACCCACGAACCAAUAAAGGCUAGUUGAAACGAUUUUCUCUAUUUCUUUAAAAAUAUUUUUAUAUUUAUUUAAAUUAUUAAAUAAUUUAAUUAAUUAAACGUACACUAGUAGUCACUCAACUUUUAGUAAAUUUCUUUUUUUCUCAUCGAAUUAUGAAAAAUUACAAAAUGAUCAACCAACUAUUCAAUUUUCUAUUUUUUGAUCUCUAGUUAGCUAAUGGUGGCAGCUAGACUUGUUAAUUGGCCGGAUUACUUGCCCAAGUCCGACGGCCCGCUUGAAAAAUGGAAGGUUUUGGACAAAUACACGAUGCCGAAAAAUGGGCUUGGGUAAAAGUUAAGGCCUAUUUUCUAUAUGAGUCGGGAUCUGUGCAAAUAUUUUUCACCCGAGCACAAUCUGACCCGAAUAUAUUAUGUUUUAAAAAUAAUUAUAUUAAUUAUAUAUGUUAAAUAAUAAUUAUAUAUUUAUAUAUAUUGAAUUACUAACCCAAUAAUAACUAAACCCAUUACCCAAAACCUAAAAAAAACUUAGCCAACUAAAUAAUUGGCUUCAGCUAUUCCUAAAGCUCGUCAAUUAGUUAACCAUAGACAUAUUUUAGUUAAUGGCUUACAGUAGAUAUGCCAAGUUAUCAUUGUAAGCCUCGAGGUAUUAUUUCAACGAGGGAUGAACAAAAUUCUAGAACUCUGAUUCAAAAUUAUCUUGAUUCAUCCACCAAUGAGGAAUUACCAAAACAUUUGACCCUUCACACAUUACUAUAUAAAGGAUUAGUCAAUUAAAUAAUAGAUGGAUAAUGGGUUGGUUUGAAAAUAAAUGGAUUGCUUGUCAUAGAAUAUUAUUCUCGUCAGAACUAAAAAUAUAAAAUUUUAAAUUUUUUAUUUAAUACAAUAAAACAUUUAUCAUAUUUAUGGUAGCGUUUUUUAAAGAAUUUUUAAUGUGGUAUGAAACACUCAGUUGAUGAAACUUAUUUAGUGGUAGAUUCAAUAGACUAUUAGGUCAUUAAUUCUGAAGUCAUUAAUAAUAUUUGUGUUUAUUGCUGGGGUUCAAGUAAACGAGAAGCCUUCGUGAUAAGGAUCUCCCGUUGCGAACUGGGGAUGGGAGAAAUGUAGCGGCAAAAGUAGUGGGAGAAGCACAUUUGUAUUUUGAUAAUUUUAGGAAAUUUAUUUUAAAUGAUAUUUUUUAUGUACAUAGUUUUAGGAGAAAUUUAAUUUUUGUUGCAUGUUUAUUUAAAGAAAGUUUUUCUAUGACUUCUAAUAAAAGGAUUGCAAUUCAUAAAAAUCAUGUUCUUAUCCGUAAUGGAUGACUGCAAAAUAAUAUUUAUUUUAUUACACAAAAGAGCCACUCACUGCUUGAAACCAAACUUGUGAAUAAGAAACUUAAAACAUCUCACUUUAAUACUUAAGAUAUUUAAGACUUAGUCGCGUUAAACAAUAAAGAAUGAAUAAACUUUUUAAAGAUGGAACUUUAAGCUCACUUAAAGAGAUACAUCUUCCACCAUGUGAAUCUUGUUGCAAAGGUAAAAUGACCAAGCAAUCUUCUAAUGCAAAAGGUACAAGGGUUGUUCAAUCAUUAAAACUUGUACAUACCGACGUAUGUGGUCCCAUGAACGUUAGUGUGAGAUUUGGUUACAAUUAUUAUGUAAACUUUUUAGAUAUUUAUUCCAGAUACUGGUAUAUGUACCUAAUGCACCACAAGAGUGAAACUUUUAAAAAAUUUCAAGAGUUUAGUGUGAAAGUGUAAAAACAAUUAGGUUUACCCAUUAAGACACUUCCGUUUGACCGACGUGGGGAAUACUUAUUGGAUGAGUUCAUAGGAUACCUCAUAGAGAAUGAGAUAUUAUCCCAAUUAACUGUGUAAGGUACUCCACAAUAGAAUAGCGUGGCACAAAGAUGGAACAAAACCUUGCUUGAUAUGAUUUAUUCAACGUUAAGUUAUUCAAAACUAUUGAUAUCAUUCUGGGGGUAAGCAUUACUAAUGACUUCCUAUAUUCUAAAUUACAUACAAACUAAGGUAGCACCUUAGGAUCCAUAUGAAAUUUGGCACGACAUGAAGCCAGGUCUAAAUCAUUUUAGGAAUUGGGGAUGCCCAACCUACGUGUCGGCUAAAGAUGCAAAAAAGUUGGAAGCACAAAUAGAAUUGUGCAUGUUUGUUGGAUGUCCAAAAUGGAGUAAGGGUGGAUAAUUUUAUAACCCAAAAUACCUAACGGUUAAGGUUUCGACUUAUGCUAAUUUUCUUGAGAAAAUCUACAUUAACAAUUUUAAACUUCGAAGUAGAUUGUUACUUCAGAAAAUUUCAAGAAAAUUAGCUUAUUUUUCGAUGACUAGUAAGUCAUUUUCUGUGAAACAAACUCACUUGAAGGAAAAUGAAUAAGAGGAUAAUAAAUUAUAAACAGUGAUCUAAAAAAUUUUACUCAUACCAUCAUUUUAAUUGAUUUUAUUAGUAAUUUUCAUUUUCUAUUUUACUUUUUUUAGUGACUCUUUAAAUAAUUAAGACCAUUAAAAAUAAACCAUAACAACUAAAAUUUAAAUUUUAAUAUUAUAGAAAAACCAUAUAUUUUAAUUUCAAUUUUAAAUCUUCAAAAAUGGUAAACCUAACAACAUCCUUUUACCAAAUUACACAUUACACGUAUUGUCAAAACUCUCGGCAACUAAUAAUCCAACGGCUAUACAUUGGCCAAAUUUCAUGGGAAAAAAAAACAUGUCAACACAAAAUUACCCUUAGUAGUGCCUAGCUAGCAAACUUUUUAUUUAAAAAAACCAUGAAGAGGUUUUCCCUUAUUUGUUUUGUGCGUGGUGAACUCUAGUAGGUGGUGUUAUUUUCAGGUGCAGAGACAGCGCCAGUGCCAAAUGUGAUAACCCCUUGGAGUAUAGCUCAUGCUUGAACGCGUAUAAGAAAGCCACCUCCAUCAGCUGGUGUUGCCAGAAAAUGAAGGAACCAGCACCAUGCUAUGUGAGUACAUGAAGAUAGAAGAUGUCAAACGUGUUUUUGACAGAGUUGAGAUUGCGAAAAUGGCUAAAUUGUGUGGAGUUUCAUAUUCUUCCACCUGCUAGAAUCCCAUUUGGUUUCAUUUGACUAUCUCUGGCUAGGAUAACCUGGCAUCUCAAUAAAUAAAAUUUUAUUUGAAAACUAUUUUUUACUCAUAAUUUCGACUAUAAUGUACUUGUGUCCUUUUUUUUGGAAUGAUACUGGUCAUUUGCUAUUAUUUACCUUUAUUGUCUUGAUUCAUGUUACAUAUGUGCUAAAAGAACUACACAAUGAUCUAGAUUUUGUUUGAACCGUAUUGGAUUGGUUGGAUUUGGAAAUUGAUCUGGAUACCAAUAUAAUUUGAAGGGUUAGAUUGGUUGACCCACGAACCAAUGGAGACUAGUUGAAACGGUUUUCUUUAUUUCUUAAAAAAUAUUUUUAUAUUUAUUUAAAUUAUUAAAUAAUUUAUUUAAUCAAACUAGACGAACAAGUCGAAAUGAAAAAUAUUUAUUUGACUGAUUCGAUCAUCGGUCCAGUUCUGAAAACAUUGUUCUGAAAAUAUGUUAUUCGAAUAUUUAUUUGGGUAAAGUACACUAGUAGUCACUCAACUUUUAGUAAAUUUCUUUUUUUUCUCAUCGAAUUAUGAAAAAUUACAAAAUGAUCACCCAACUAUUCAAUUUUUUUUCUUUUUUGAUCUCAGUUAGCUAAUGGUGGUAGUUAGACUUGUUAAUUGGCUAGGUUACCUACUCAAGUCCGACGGCCUGCUUGAAAAAUGAAAGGGUUUAGACAAAUACAUGAUGCCGAAAAAUGGGCUUGGGUAAAAUUUAAGGCCUAUGUUCUAUAUGGGUCGAGAUUUGUGCAAAUUAUUUUGACUUGAUCCUAGUCCGACCCGAAUAUAUUAUGUUAUAAAAAAUAAUUAUAUUAAUUAUAUAUGUUAAAUAAUUAUUAUAUUUUUUAUAUUUAUAUUAAAUUAUUAACCCAAUAACAAUUAAACUCAUUACCCAAGCCCUAAAAAAAACCUUACCCAACUAAAUAAUUGGCUUCGACUAUUCCUAAAGCCUGUCAAGUAGUUAACCAUAGACAUAUUUUAGUUAAUGGUGUACAGUAGUUAUACCAAGUCAUCGUUGCAAGCUCCGAGAUAUUAUUUUAGCGACGGAUGAACAAAAUUCUAGAACUCUGAUUCAAAAUUACUUUGAUUCAUCCACCAAUGAGGAAUUACCAAAACAUUUGACCCUUCACACAUUACUAUAUAAAGGAUUGGUCAAUCAAAUAAUAGAUAGGAAAUGGGUUGGUUUGAAAAUAAAUGGAUUGAUUGUCGUAGAAUAUUAUUCUCAUCGGAACUCAAAAUAUAAAAUUUUAUUUAAUACAAUAAAACAUUUAUUAUAUUUAUUGUAGUGUUUUUUAAUGAAUUUUUAAUGUGGUAUGAAACUCUUAGUUGAUGUAACUUGUUUAGUUCUAGAUUCAAUAUACUAUUAGGUCAUUAAUCCUGAAGCCAUUAAUCAUAUUUCUUUUUAUUACAGGGGUUCAAGUAGAACAGAAGCCUUCGUGAUAAGGAUUUCUCGUUGCGAACUAGAGAUGAGAGAAAUGUAACGGCAAAAGUAGUGGGAGAAAUACAUUUGUAUUUUGAUAAUUUUAGAAAAAAUAUUUUAAAUGACAUUUUUAUGUACCUAGUUUUCCUGUGACUUCUAAUAAAGGAACUUCAAUUCAUAAAAAUCAUGUUCUUAUCCGUAAUGGAUGGAUGCAAAAUAAUAUUUAUUUUAUUAAACAAAAGAGCUACUCACUGCUUGAAACCGAGCUUGUGAAUAAGAAACUUAAAACUUCUCACUCUAAUACUUAUGAUAUUUAAGACUUAGUCGUGUUAAACAAGAAAGAAUGAAUAAACUUUUUAAAGAUGAGACUUUGAGCUCACUUAAAGAGGCAUAUCUUCUACAAUGUGAAUCUCGCUUGAAAAGUAAAAUGAUCAAGAAAUCUUCCAAUGCAAAAGGUACAAGGGUUAUUCAAUUAUUAAAACUUAUGCAUACUGACGUAUGUGAUCCCCUGAAUGUUAGUUUGAGAUUGAUUACAAUUAUUAUGUAAACUUUUUAGAUAUGUAUUCCAGAUAUUUUUAUGUGUAUCUAAUGCACCACAAGAGUGAAACUUUUAAAAAUUUUCAAGAGUUUAAUGUGAAAGUGGAUAAACAAUUAGGUUUACCCAUUAAGACACUUCGGUUUGACCGACGUGAGGAAUACUUAUUGGACGAGUUCAUAGGAUACCACAUAGAGAAUAAGAUACUAUCUCAAUUAACUAUGUGGGGUAAUCCACAACAAAAUAGCGUGGCAGAGAGAUGGAACAAAACCUUGCUUGAUAUGGUUUAUUCAAUGUUAAGUUAUUCACAACUGUCGAUAUCAUUCUGGGUUUAAGCAUUACUAACGACUUGCUACAUUCUAAAUUACAUAAAAACUAAGGCAACACCUCAAGAUCCAUUCGAAAUGUGGCACAGCAUGAAGCCAGGCUGAAAUCAUUUUUGGAAUUGGGGAUGCCCAACCUACAUGUCGGCUAAAGAUGCAAAAAAGUUGAAAGUACAGAUAGAAUUGUGCAUGUUUGUUGGCUAUCCAAAACGGAGCAACGGUGAAUAAUAUUAUAACCCAAAAGACCAAACGGUUAAGGUUUCAACUUAUGCUACUUUCCUUGAGGAAAUAUACAUUAACAAUUUUAAACUUCGAAGUAGAUUGUUACUUCAAAAAAUUUCAGGAAAAUGAACUUAUUUUUUGAUGACUUGUAAGUCAUUUUCCGUAAAACAAACGCAUCUGAAGGAAAAUGAAGAAGAGGAUAAUAAUUUUAUAAAUAGUGAUCUAAAAAAUUUUACUCAUACCAUAAUUUUGAUUUAAUUUAUUAGUGAUUUUCAUUUUCUAUUUUACUUUUUUUAGUGACUCUUUAAAUAAUUGAGACCAUUAAAAAUAAACCAUAACAACUAAAAUUAAAAAUUUAAUAUUCUAAAAAAAACCAUAUAUUUUAAUUUCAAUUUUAAAUUUAAAUUGUUCAAAGAUUAAGCUAUUUUCUCGGCUUUGUAGGCACAUUUCAAAAAUUUUUUACCACAAUUUAUCUCUCUCAAAAAUAGUAAACCUAACAACAUCCUUUUACCAAAUUUACACAUUUACACGUAUUGUCCAAAACUCUCGGCAAUUAAUAAUCCAACUGCUAUAAAUUGUGCCAAAUUUCAAUGGAAAAAACACACAACACAAAUUACCAUUAUUAGUCUCCCAACUAGCAAAAUUUUUAUUUAAAGAAACAUGAAGAGGUUUUCCCUUAUUGUUUUGUGCGUGGUGACUCUAGUAGUGGUGUUAUUUUCGGGUGCAGAGGCAGCGCCAGCGCCGAAAUGUGAUAACCCCUUGGAGUAUAGCUCAUGCUUGAACGCGUAUAAGAAGCCACCUCCAUCAUCUGGUUGUUGCCAAAAAAUGAAGGAACAGGCGCCAUGCUAUUGUGAGUACAUGAAGAUAGAAGAUGUCAAACGUGUUUUUGACAGAGUUGAGAUUGCAAAAAUGGCUAAAUUGUGUGGAGUUUCAUAUUCUUCCACCUGCUAGAAUCCCGUUUGGUUUCAAUUGACUAUCGCUGGCUGGGAUAACCUGGCAUCUCAAUAAACGAAAUUUUAUUUGAAAACUAUUUUUUGUACUCAUAAUUUCGACUAUAAUGCACUUGUGUUCUUUUUUUUUUUUGGAAUGAUACUGGUCAUUUGCUAUUAUUUACCUUUAUUGUCUUGAUUCAAGUUACAUAUGUGCUAAAAGAACUACACAAUGAUCUAGAUUUUGUUUGAACCGUACUGGAUUGGUUGGAUUGAAAACUGAUCUAGAUACCGAUAUAAUUAGAGAGGUUAGAUUAGUUGACCCACGAACCAAUGGAG